AUUGAACGCUGGCGGCAGGCCUAACACAUGCAAGUCGAACGCGUGGCGUACGGGUGAGUAAUGUCUGGGAAACUGCCUGCUGUAGGGGGAUAACUACUGGAAACGGUAGCUAAUACCUCAUACCAUCGGAUGUGCCCCGAUGGGAUUAGCUACUAGGUGGGGUAAAGGCUCACCUGGGCGACGAUCCCUAGCUGGUCUGAGAGGAUGACCAGCCACACUGGAACUGAGAGACGGUCCAGACUCCUACGGGAGGCAGCAGUGGGGAAUAGUGCACAAUGGGCGCAAGCCUGAUGCAGCCAUGCCGCGUGUAUGAAGAAGGCCUUCGGGUUGUAAAGUACUUUAAGCGGGGAGGCGUUACCCGCAGAAGAAGCACCGGCUAACUCCGUGCCAGCAGCCGCGGUAAUAC
rnacentral:rRNA from 1 species